UACGUAGGUGGCAAGCGUUGUCCGGAUUUACUGGGCGUAAAGGGCGCGUAGGCGGCUUUUCAAGUGACGGGUGAAAUCCCUCGGCUUAACCGAGGAACUGCCUGUCAGACUGGAAGGCUUGAGACCGGGAGAGGUGAGUGGAAUUCCCAGUGUAGCGGUGAAAUGCGUAGAUAUUGGGAGGAACACCAGUGGCGAAGGCGGCUCACUGGACCGGAACUGACGCUGAGGCGCGAAAGCGUGGGGAGCAAACAGG
rnacentral:rRNA from 1 species